rnacentral:rRNA from 1 species
AGCAGCCGCGGUAAUUCCAGCUCCAAUAGCGUAUAUUAAAGUUGUUGCAGUUAAAAAGCUCGUAGUUGAAUUUCGGGAUCAAUACGUCGGUCGUGCCUCGGUACGUACUAACGUUAUUGGUUUCUCCCUUCUAACAAAUCGUGAUGUCAUUAAUUUGGUGUUACGGGGAGUUAGGACUGUUACUUUGAAAAAAUUAGAGUGUUUAAAGCAAGCAAUCGCUCGAAUACAUUAGCAUGGAAUAAUGAAAUAGGACGUUCGACCCUAUUUUGUUGGUUUCUAGGAUCGACGUAAUGAUUAAUAGGGAUAGUUGGGGGCAUUAGUAUUCAAUUGUCAGAGGUGAAAUUCUUGGAUUUAUUGAAGACUUAACUACUGCGAAAGCAUUUGCCAAGGAUGUUUUCAUUAAUCAAGAACGAAAGUUAGGGGAUCGAAGACGAUCAGAUACCGUCGUAGUCUUAACCAUAAACUAUGCCGACUAGGGAUCGGAUGAUGUUAACUUAAUGACUCAUUCGGCGCCUUACGG